GUCAAUGUCAAAAUAUAAAGGACGACGGCGUACUGUACUGGCGCCAAACAUUUUAGAAUUAAAUAUACUUAAUUACUGGGUUUCUAAUGUAUUAUUAAAUAAUACAUAAUGGAUGUAUCAACCAACAUGACGACAAGUAUUGUCCAAAAGAAGAGAUCCUUUUCAGAUGUCUGAAUGUGCUGAACUGAAAUGAAUCGUGAAACAUGUGAAAAAAAUGUAUUACUUACACAAAACUGCAUCAUCUGAUCUUGUAAAACCAUACUACACUGAAUAAGUUUUUAUCCGUGGCGUUGAAAAAAAUGAUGAAAUCAUGAAAUUAUGGCAUCGGCAGUGUUAUAACGAUUUAAAGAUCAAGAAGACAUAUCAAUGAAGUGUCAGUGAUUGUAUACUUUGAAAUGUUUAAUAAACAUAAUAUAUUAACAAUUUAAAAAUAUGAAUUCAUUUCUAUACCCUCAUAAGGGUUCAUGACAUACUGUCAUAACUUAAUUUUUAACAACUAUAAUGAAUACCAUCAAAAUAUCCUUGUUGGUUAGAUGUUUUAAAAAUAUAUUGUACUCACACACAUUCCACCAGAAACUGACAUGUAAAAUUAUGUUCAUAAUAAUGAAAAUAUCUAUGUGGUGA